UUUUGAAAGUUUUAUUCUUGCUUAUUUAUUCACUUUUUCUUUAUAUUAUAUGCGAGCUUUGUUUUACUGAAUGUUUUAUAUUUGCAGUAAUUUAAUUUAAUUAUCAAGUGAUUUUGGAAUUAGUAAUUGAUUUAGUAUUGGCAUAAUUCGUGCCAGCAGCCGCGGUUAUACGAUUAAUGCAAGUGAAUAUUUUUGGUUAAAAUAGUUAUUAGUAUUUUAGGGUUUAAUUAUAUAUUUAUGAGGUGAAAUUUAAAAUUUUUUUAUGACUCUUAUUAUGAAUCUGUGAAACUUAAAUAAUAAACUAGGAUUAGAUACCCUAUUAUUUUAAGUGUUAAUUUUACUUACCCGGAUAGUAUUAGUUAAGAUCUUGAAAUCCAAAGAAUUUGGCGGUAUCUUAUUCCAUUCAGAGGAGCCUGUCUCGUAAUUGAUAAUACACGAUUAAUUUUACUUGAUUUAUUUGUUUGUAUAUCUCCGUUAUCAGAAGAUCUUUUUAGAGUUAUAAUUUUCUGAAUCUAUAAUUAUAAAUUAUUUCAGGUCAAGGUGCAGCUUAUAAUCAAGGGAAGAUGGGUUACAAUAAAUUUUUGUUUAUUAUGGAUUUAAUAUUGAAAUCUGUUAAUGAAGGUGGAUUUGAUAGUAAUUUAAUUUAUUUAAUUUAAUUGAUAUUGGCUCUUAGGUGUGUACACAUCGCCCGUCACUCUCGUUAUUAGUUAUUAAUUCAGGAUUUAUGUUGAGUUAAUUAAGAAUUAAAUGAGAUAAGUCGUAACAUAGUAGAUGUACUGGAAAGUGUAUCUAGUAAGAU
rnacentral:ncRNA from 1 species